CAUCCAAAGGUCCUAAGAGUCAAAAUGAAAAUGAUUUCUUUCUCAAGAAUCACUGUAGAUUCUUGAGAAAGAAAAUGACACGAGGAGUGGUGGUCAAGGCCGGUUUCAGUACCCUCCCUCGGGGCCACGCUAGGAUCUGCUUCUAUAAGGGGAAAAGACUGAAAUAGCCCUCCAGGAGGCUUUUGAGAAUACGACUGCCAAUUACUGCUCCUUCUUCAGCCACCCCCUUGCUGGGUCCCCCGUUCUCCACCCUCCAUCGUCCAGAGCAAGAGACCAGAACAGGACAACCCUCGAGAUAUAGCUAUUGUUGAACGAAAAUUCUCCAUGGGUCCCUCCUCUUUUUGCAUGUCUUACCAGCCAAGUCACUGACAGCAUUUUGUUCUUUUCAAAGAUGUUUGUUUAGAGAUCAUAUCUCCC